CUGGCUCCUGCUGGCAGAGGCUAAAUUAGCACCUCCUUGGAUAUCCAAGAGCUAGUGCACCCAGUGGUCAGAGUGAGACCAUCCAGAUUACAACUCCUCAGAUUCAUAAGGACACACUCAGGGGAAAGACUCAGUGCACACCAAAGCACCACUGAAUCAAGU